rnacentral:rRNA from 1 species
CUAAGUUUAACGGCCGCGGUAUUAUAACCGUGCAAAGGUAGCAUAAUAAAUUGUUCUCUAAAUAAGGACUAGUAUGAAUGGCAACACGAAGGCUCAACUGUCUCCCCCCUCUAAUCAAUGAAACUGAUCUCCUCGUGAAGAAGCGGGGAUAUAUACAUAAGACGAGAAGACCCCAUGGAGCUUCAAACUCACCACCAAUUACUUAUAUUAUACCUAAAGAAAGAGUAAUAAAUGUUCUGUGUAGUUUUUGGCUGGGGCGACCCUGGAGUAAAACAAAUCCUCCAGAAUGAACGGAGUGACUUCCUAAUACAAGAACCACAUUUCUAAUAAUCAAAAAACUGACAUUAAUGAUCCAAACUAUUGAUCAAUGAAAUAAGUUACCCUGGGGAUAACAGCGCAAUCCAUUUCAAGAGCCCCUAUCGACAAAUGGGUUUACGACCUCGAUGUUGGAUCGGGGUACCCCGGUGGCGCAGCCGCUACCAAAGGUUCGUUUGUUCAACGAUUAAUAACCCCACGUGAUCUGAGUUCAGACCGGA